UGCAAGUCGAGGGGCAUCACGUGUAGCAAUACAUGGUGGCGACCGGCGGAAGGGUGCGUAACGCGUGAGCAACAUGCCCGUAUCAGGGGGAUAAACCAGGGAAACUUGGUCUAAUACCGCAUAAUAAGUUUCUAAGGCAUCUUAGGGAUUUUAAAGUUUUGGUGGAUACGGAUUGGCUCGCGUGACAUUAGCUAGAUGGUAAGGUAACGGCUUACCAUGGCAACGAUGUCUAGGGGUUCUGAGAGGAAGAUCCCCCACACUGGAACUGAGACACGGUCCAGACUCCUACGGGAGGCAGCAGUGAGGAAUAUUGGACAAUGGAUGGAAAUCUGAUCCAGCCAUGCCGCGUGCAGGAAGACAGCCCUAUGGGUUUUAAACUGCUUUUAUACGGGAGCAAUAAGGACUAUGCGUAGUUUGAUGAGAGUACCGUACGAAUAAGCACCGGCUAACUCCGUGCCAGCAGCCGCGGUAAUACGGAGGGUGCAAGCGUUAUCCGGAUUUAUUGGGUUUAAAGGGUGCGUAGGCGGUUUUAUAAUUCAGCGGUGAAAUUUUUCAGCUUUAACUGGAACAAUGCCGUUGAUACUG
rnacentral:rRNA from 1 species